rnacentral:rRNA from 1 species
CGGGGGGCAGCAGUGGGGAAUUUUGGACAAUGGGCGAAAGCCUGAUCCAGCAAUGCCGCGUGUGGGAAGAAGGCCUUCGGGUUGUAAACCACUUUUGUACGGAACGAAACGGCUCGCUUUAAUACAGUGGGCUAAUGACGGUACCGUAAGAAUAAGCACCGGCUAACUACGUGCCAGCAGCCGCGGUAAUACGUAGGGUGCGAGCGUUAAUCGGAAUUACUGGGCGUAAAGCGUGCGCAGGCGGUUAUAUAAGACAGUUGUGAAAUCCCCGGGCUCAACCUGGGAAUUGCAUCUGUGACUGUAUAGCUAGAGUACGGUAGAGGGGGAUGGAAUUCCGCGUGUAGCAGUGAAAUGCGUAGAUAUGCGGAGGAACACCGAUGGCGAAGGCAAUCCCCUGGACCUGUACUGACGCUCAUGCACGAAAGCGUGGGGAGCAAACAGGAUUAGAUACCCCAGU